AUCUUUGCGCUUGGGGCAAUGACGCAGCUACAGAGGUUAUAACCGAGCCGCGUCAAUUACUGGUUGAAAACCAUUUCCAAACCCCCUAUUUGGCCUUCUUCCAUGGGUGGCCAUUGAGAAUUUUUGGAGGGCUAUCUUUGAGAUGGGC